AGCCCUAAGAAAAUAAUUUUGGGUGAAGCCUGCCCUAUGAUCUAAUUAAAUGGCCGCGGUACUCUGACCGUGCUAAGGUAGCAUAAUCAAUUGGCUUUUAAAUGGAGUCUGGAAUGAAAGGAGAUACGGGGUACAGCUGUCUCUAUGCUUUUAUUACGAAUUUACUAAUCAGGUGAAAAGGCCUGAGAAAGAAAAAAGACGAGAAGACCCUUAGAGUUUUACUUUUUGUUGGGGCGACACAGAGUCACGAAAACACUCUGAUAUUUAUAUGACGGAUUUAUCAUGUUUAGAUAAACUACCUGAGGGAUAACAGCAUAAUCUUUUUAAGGUUUGUGACCUCGAUGUUGGACUAGGAAGUCUGCUAGCUAGCCGCUAGCAAGAGGGAUUCUGUUCGAAUUUUUACUCCU
rnacentral:rRNA from 2 species